rnacentral:rRNA from 2 species
AAUACAUGCUAAAAACCUCGACUUCGGAAGGGGUGUAUUUAUUAGAUAAAAAACCAAUGCCCUUCGGGGCUCCUUGGUGAUUCAUAAUAACUUAACGAAUCGCAUGGCCUUGUGCCGGCGAUGGUUCAUUCAAAUUUCUGCCCUAUCAACUUUCGAUGGUAUGGUCUUGGCUUACCAUGGUUUCAACGGGUAACGGGGAAUUAGGGUUCUAUUCCGGAGAGGGAGCCUGAGAAACGGCUACCACAUCCAAGGAAGGCAGCAGGCGCGCAAAUUACCCAAUCCCGACACGGGGAGGUAGUGACAAUAAAUACUGAUACAGGGCUCUUUUGGGUCUUGUAAUUGGAAUGAGUACAAUUUAAAUCCCUUAACGAGGAACAAUUGGAGGGCAAGUCUGGUGCCAGCAGCCGCGGUAAUUCCAGCUCCAAUAGCGUAUAUUAAAGUUGUUGCAGUUAAAAAGCUCGUAGUUGAACCUUGGGCCUGGUUGGCCGGUCCGCCUCACCGCGUGCACUGGUCCGACCGGGUCUUUCCUUCUGAGGAGCCGCAUGCCCUUCACUGGGUGUGUCGGGGAAUCAGGACUUUUACUUUGAAAAAAUUAGAGUGUUCAAAGCAGGCCUAUGCUCGAAUACAUUAGCAUGGAAUAAUAGAAUAGGACGUGUGGUUCUAUUUUGUUGGUUUCUAGGACCGCCGUAAUGAUUAAUAGGGACAGUCGGGGAUAUCAGUAUUCAAUUGUCAGAGGUGAAAUUCUUGGAUUUAUUGAAGACUAACUACUGCGAAAGCAUUUAUCAAGGAUGUUUUCAUUAAUCAGUGAACGAAAGUUAGGGGAUCGAAGACGAUCAGAUACCGUCGUAGUCUUAACCAUAAACUAUGCCGACUAGGGAUCGGGCGAUGUU